ensembl:lncRNA
CCCAGAGGACCCCGCGGAGCGCUGGCCCGGCGGCUUUAAGUACCGGAGUACCCCUUAACGCUCGGUGUUGGGUCUUUAGGGUACGUGAGCACUUCGGUGAGCUCCUUUCCGGGUGCUCCAAGGACCGCCCCUUCCUCGAUACCGACUCUGGGCUCCGGCCCCCGGAAGAUGAGCUCGGCCGCGCCAAACACCGCCUCAUCCUUCCCCCAGGCAAACGGAGGCGCCCCUCACCCAUCCAGGAUUCCUCCUUCUUGGCCGCGGUACACCUUCGGAGGGGAGACGCCCGCAUCCCAAAGGAUGCUCACCCCAUCCCGUCGCUUCUCUUCAGCUGAGUCUCCACCAUCCGUUGUCGGGGGGACAGAGAUUACCCCCAAGUAAACGGGAAUGUUUGCUCCAGGCUGCACCUCGGAAUAAGGAAAAGUAGACUCAGUCCUGGAAAGCAUCUCAGUCUGGGGCGCCAGAGGCUAGUAGUUAAUAGCAGGUCAGUACCACUGACCUCAAGGUGCCCAGAACUUUCAUAGUCUUACAAACUCCUGAGGAGCUCUAGGAAAAGUUGGCUGGGAGUCGGGGUGUUCAGGCUGAUGUUCUCACUUAUCUAUCCACAAUUAAGUUGCUAAUUUUCUAUCCAGUUCAAGUUUCCAAGAGAGAAAAUCAAAUUAGCCUAACUGUCCCUGCUUGGGUGCAAGCCACAAUGUCCGUUUGUCCUUUCUCUAAUAGAAUCCCAACUUUUAGCUAGGCCUAAGGCUGUCUGGAGUAAAAACGACAUUUUUUGUCAUCCUUGCGUCUUGCCAGGGGGAUGAGAGCAAAGCGAUUCUUAAAAGGAAGAAGAAACCUCCUCCAUGCUGGCUGGAACACAGGCAAGUCAUCAUGGAUGGUGUGGACAAGGUUAAUACCCUAAGGAUGGCAAACCAAUCAGACAGAAAGAACUGAGCUCCUGACAGUUUGGUGGAACAGAGCUUGGGGCUUUAAUGUGAAGAGAGAUAAACUCUUCUAUUUUAUAUAAACCACUAUUAUACUAGGUUUCUGAUAUACAGAUAGCUAUGCUUAUCUUCUAAUUGGUUGGCUCCUAAUCAGCUAGGGCUGGGGGAAGGGGCAUGUGACAGAGACACAGCCCUGACAGCUCAAAGAACAGCUGGAGGGAACCCCCUCCCCAUCAGCAGGAGAUACAGAGUUUCUUUCCAAAAAUGUGUGUGAAAGGUACCACCAGUUGAUAUGUCUGAACGCCUGGGAAUACCAUCCUUCCUUUUGUUAACCUUCACUGCAAAAUCCCCUUUCUUUUGUUACCCAAUCAGUGGGUAGUUCUCACUCCCCCCUAGUCCUCUCACUUUACCUAUCCACAGUAGGUGACAGAAUGACUACUCCCUCCUGGAAACACUGGUUUUCCUCCUUGACUGGCCACUCCUUCUCAGGCACUUUAAGUAGUUUUUCCUCCUCAGCUUCUAAGCCGGUGGUGGUUAAACUAUAGCAUGAUCAGAAGCCCCUGGAGGGCUUGUUAAACCACAGUGCUGAAUUUCAGGAUGUCCUAGCACCAAGAGUUUCAAGGAAGUAAAUAGCUUGGUGGCAGUGGACAGAUGCUUGAGGAAUGUAUAUUCUCUAUUAAAGAGUCACAGAAUUUGCAUGUAAAAUUUCCAACCACUCAUCAGAAUGAAAGAGUCACACUGAUGGGAGAGAAGCUGCAAAAGAGCAGUCCAGCAGAGAGCCACAGAAUGAAGCCAAGAUGGCUGGUGACAUCACAAGCAAUAACCAGGAGAGCCUUCUGGAACCUGACAAAUGCUGAUUGGGCAUUUUAAUCCUUACCCUAACCUGAUGGGAGGGGCAAUUGUGAAGACUGAAGAACUUGAAGCUAUCUGAGACAUGGAGGUCUACCUAGGCAGUUUAUAUCAAGCCAUGUGAUACAGCGGCCUGCAUCAACUUUGCCCAGAUAGGACAUUCAGGGUUGGUUUCAUCCUGUCCUUGGUCUGCUGGUGUAUGUUUGCUUUGUUCACUCACAACAGCUAGAAAAUAAUAGCAGCAGGGAUGCUUUGAAACCCAUCAGGUUACUUAUUCAAUUGAAGGAGGUCUCACUCUGUCUUACCCUUCUGUCAAACAGACUUCAAGGGAGUUAUGGAAAUUGCCAUUUCCUAGCAGGGUAGCUCCUAGGGGGUUAAUGGCAAGGAAAUAGUGGGAAUGGGCAUUUGCAUUGUGAGAGAAACCAACAAACCUUUAGAAGAAAAACACCUUUCAGCCAAUCUCAAGUCAUCCUUUUGCACCAAGACACACCACGUCCCUCCCUUUCACACAUCCCCAAACAGAAACAGACAAGCAGUAGACCUGGAAGACCAUUAGGUCAGCUCCACAACCAAGUUCAGUAACAGCCAAGAGCUGCACAUGAAACUGACUCUUGGUAACAAGUAACCAACUUCCUGUGGUGAGUUAUACAUAUUUAAUUUCUAAUUCACUCUCUGAGUACCUUAAAAAUAUAGUUGUAUAUGGAUAGAUGGCUAUUUUAUUUUUUUUAGUAAGAGUGGAGAUAAGUUGACCUGAAGAAAAUCAGCCAUGUAAAAGGAUAUUUGAAGGAUUCUAGGGUUGAGUAACCAGAUUCUUAUGAGGGAUCUGCAAAGAAUUAUGCUGAGCUAUAGGGACAGGAAAGAUGUACCUCUUUUCCUGUCAUCUCUACUUUGCUACAAUUAGCACAACCCUGGAGACACUGAUGCGCCAGAACUGAUCAUGAAAAUGUGGCCUGUUACACCUCUAAGAUCAGGCCAGCCUCACAAUGGUCCUGGUCUAAAAUAGUGUUCCCUCUGGGUAGAAGAGUUAGAUCCUUUUCUGUUGACUCUAUGUGUUGCUUUGGAAAGUUUAACAGAAAUUUCCUUUGGCUGUGAAUACAGUGGUUAAAUGCAUAAGGCUUUAAUCCCUUUCAUUCAAGAUCAGAAGUGGGUAGUCCAGGGCUGGUAUGGAGGCUCCGUAAGAUUAUCAGGGCAUCAAAUGUCUUCUGUUUGUCUCCUCUCCAAUCCUUCAGGCAUGGCUUAUAUGCUUAAAGUCACAGAUGGCUGCUGGAAUUCCAGCCAUUAAAACCACAUUCUAGGUAGAAAGAAGGGAAGGACAAAGGCAAAAGGGAAGUUUUCUAGCUGUCCUCUCAUUUAAGGUGCCUUUCCUGAAGUCCUAUAGAACAAAUUUCAAUUAUAUCACUAUAUCAUUGGCCUGUUAAUUGAUAUAGCAAUAUAUUAUUGGUCUGAUAUUUGAUAUAUAAGUAUUUUAUUGGCUUGAUUAGCCAUACCUCACUGCAGAAGAGACCAAGAAAUAUAGUUGGGCGUUCUGCAAUUCAGGCAGGCUCAGAUUUCCUAUUGUUAAGAAAGAAAAAAAA